UACGUAGGGACCAAGCGUUGUUCGGAUUUACUGGGCGUAAAGGGCGCGUAGGCGGCAUGACAAGUCACUUGUGAAAUCUCCGGGCUUAACUCGGAACGGUCAAGUGAUACUGUCGCGCUAGAGUGCGGAAGGGGCAAUCAGAAUUCUUGGUGUAGCGGUGAAAUGCGUAGAUAUCAAGAGGAAUACCUGAGGUGAAGGCGGGUUGCUAGGCCGACACUGACGCUGAAGCGCGAAAGCCAGGGGAGCAAACGGG
rnacentral:rRNA from 1 species